rnacentral:rRNA from 1 species
UUCGGGGUGGAUUAGUGGCGAACGGGUGAGUAACACGUGGGCAAUCUGCCCUUCACUCUGGGACAAGCCCUGGAAACGGGGUCUAAUACCGGAUAACACUCUGUCCCGCAUGGGACGGGGUUAAAAGCUCCGGCGGUGAAGGAUGAGCCCGCGGCCUAUCAGCUUGUUGGUGGGGUAAUGGCCUACCAAGGCGACGACGGGUAGCCGGCCUGAGAGGGCGACCGGCCACACUGGGACUGAGACACGGCCCAGACUCCUACGGGAGGCAGCAGUGGGGAAUAUUGCACAAUGGGCGAAAGCCUGAUGCAGCGACGCCGCGUGAGGGAUGACGGCCUUCGGGUUGUAAACCUCUUUCAGCAGGGAAGAAGCGAAAGUGACGGUACCUGCAGAAGAAGCGCCGGCUAACUACGUGCCAGCAGCCGCGGUAAUACGUAGGGCGCAAGCGUUGUCCGGAAUUAUUGGGCGUAAAGAGCUCGUAGGCGGCUUGUCACGUCGGAUGU